AACGAACGCUGGCGGCAGGCCUAACACAUGCAAGUCGAGCGCCCUUUCGGGGGAGCGGCGGGCGGGUGAGUAACGCGUGGGAAUAUGCCCUUCUCUACGGAAUAGCCUCGGGAAACUGAGAGUAAUACCGUAUACGCCCUGUGGGGGAAAGAUUUAUCGGGGAAGGAUUAGCCCGCGUUGGAUUAGGUAGUUGGUGGGGUAAUGGCCUACCAAGCCGACGAUCCAUAGCUGGUUUGAGAGGAUGAUCAGCCACACUGGGACUGAGACACGGCCCAGACUCCUACGGGAGGCAGCAGUGGGGAAUCUUAGACAAUGGGGGCAACCCUGAUCUAGCCAUGCCGCGUGAGUGAUGAAGGCCUUAGGGUUGUAAAGCUCUUUCAGCUGGGAAGAUAAUGACGGUACCAGCAGAAGAAGCCCCGGCUAACUCCGUG
rnacentral:rRNA from 1 species